GUCCACCUCAAUUCAUCAGGAGAGACCUAGUGUGGGUGUAGGGGUGCCUGAGGAGAAAGGGGUGCUGGUUCUUCCUUAUAUCAUAUCCCCUGCCUGCCUCAGCUGGGCUCUGACCCAGCCAGCAGACUGGAGUCCUCUUCUGCAUGAUAAGGAAACUGAGGCUUAGAGGAGUUAUGAAACUGCCCAAGGUUUCACAGCUGAAAUGUAUAAGGACCUGGACUUGCAAAUUUGGCACAAAGUUCUUCUAAUAAGAGGCCAUAAAAUAACCAAAUGAUUUUUUAUGUGCCUAUAGAACCAAAAGAACUAUUUCAGAAUGUCAGCUGAAAAGCACGAUAUUCCAGUAGAGGAUGGAGGCCGAAGCCACAACAGUGACAGAUGUUCCAGAAGAUCAGCUUAUAUAAUGAGAAGUUGGGCCAAAUCUGUUGAAAGUGGUGUUUUUUUAAAAAACACACUGACUUCAAAGAAAUGAGUUGUGGCAUCUGUAACAUCUACACGAGCAGCACCAAUGGAGGCUGGCGGGUCUGCAGAGGAGCAGCUCAAGUCAUGCGAUUACUGGAGCUUGCAGCGAAAUGACUGGAACAACAUCUGGGCUGCAGCAAGCUGGCCAGGACAUUUUAAAAGAGCUCCUGUGGUGCCUCCAACUUUGAUUUUACAGAGCUGCGGGGAAAGAAACAGGCUGUGUUCAAGAGCUCAUGUGUUUUGCCUCACAUGUUUUGUCCUCGGUCACUGUGAAGGGCCUCACUCAGCUGGGGACCCUGAGGGACAUUCUUGGGCAGUCAUUCUCUGUCUACUCUGCUAGCUCUGUAGAAUAUUCAUUUAUUUAACAAAUAUUAUCGUGAACCUACCAUGUGUGUGACAUAUAGUAGAGAGGAUCCUGGACAGAGAGCACCUGGGACUGAAUCCCAGCCUUGUAGCCCACCAGUUUCAUGAGCUUCUACUACCAAGAUGGUUUGGAAAACAUUUAUAAGCUUAGAAACCUUGGCAUAGUGCCUUCCUGGAAAUCCUGGAUUGCAUCUAAAACCAUGUGGCAGAGGGAGAAACCACAGACAGGCCAUCCUGAGAAGACUCAGGCUGAGAUGAAAGCUCUGCUCUCCAGGGACAAAGCAGCAGGGGACCAGCCAUGCUCAGAGAUACUCCACUGGCCAGUGCACAUUUUUUUGAGCAAUUUCACUUGCUUCCACACCACCUGCCCCCCUAACACUUCUAUUAAAGUGGCAAAUAAAUCCGAUACCCAAUUUCC